ACAUGUCCUUAACCUUGGCACAACAAAUCUCUAAAUCGAUUGAGACCUGUCUCAGAUACUUCUUGGUUUACAAGAUGGAGGCUGAAAUUAAAGAGAAAGAUCCUCACUCAACUCACAGAGGAGCAGAAUGGGAAGAGGACUUAGUGAGAAUUCCCUGAACACAGGAGAAAACCGAAGCCCAGAGAGUGGAUGGCCAAGUCCAAGGUCACACAGCCAAGUGCAUCCGAGCAGCGCAGGAUCCAGGUUUCCUGCCCCAGUGCUCUUUCUGCAGCCCAUGCCACCUGUUUUCAUGCUAUCUCAGUUCACCUUCCAGCUACACACCUGCAAUCAGAAACAGAAAGUCUGAGAGUGUGUGUGGAGCCAAAGAGGGGACAGCAGUGGUGAGGCCAGUUUCAUGUCUUGUGAUUUAUUUUCUCCCUUUCUUUUUGGACUUUAAUCUUAAGUGGACAGCAAUUUGGAACAGUGUCAGCACCUUGUUGGAUUGUGCUGUUUGGGAGAGGUGACACAGAGUAUUUUAAAAGAGCAGGUUAAGAACUUUUCACAAGGAAUCAAUUGAGAGAAAAUAAAAUAGAAACAGACUGUCCCACAUUUGGGCUGAGCACCAAACACAUUUUUUUUUUUUUUUUUGAGACUGAGUCUUGCUCUGUCACUCAGGCUGGAAUGCAGUGGCGCGAUCUCGGCUCACUGCAGCCUUCACCUCCCGGGUUCAAGUGAUUCUUCUGCCUCAGCCUCCCAAGUAGCUGGGAUUACAGGUGCCCACCACCAUGCCAGGCUAAUUUUUGUAUUUUUAGUAGAGACGAGGUUUCACCAUGUUGGCCAGGCUGGUCUUGAACUCCUGACCAAGUGAUCCACCUGCUUCGGCCUCCCAAAGUGCUGGGAUUACAGGCACGAGCCACCGCACCUGGCCUCAAACAAGCUUUUUAAUUGCAUUCAGAAGUGCACCAACUAGGCACAGACCUCUGGCAUGGAGACAGAAUGGGAGGUUCUUGGUGUCUGGCCUGGUCUUGCAGAAAUCAGGGAGUUGUGGGGACCAGGCAGCCACUGUGCAUCAGAUAGGAGUUUCAGCAGCAGGCAACAGAAAGCCUGCCAAUGUAGCUGAAAUAAGAAGGGCUUAUUUUUAUCCCUGAACAGAAGCUUCCAGCACUGGUUCAUCAGAUCAGGGCACUGAGCUGGCAUCCCCAUUUAUACAGUUUUCCUUUCCUUCACCUUUGUAAGAUGCCUGGCACAGCUCUGAGCAUCAAAUAUCUGUGCCAUGUGGGAGCACACGAGGGGACAAGUGGGGAAUAGGGUCUCCUCUGUCCUCUGUCCCCAGGCUGGCUUCUCUCGUGGUAGAAGGACCCCCACAGCACCAGGCCUCAUAACUACCCUGCUGGUAAACUGCAGGUGCUGUCACGGCUUCCUGCCUUCGUAUAUGAAAUGUUCCUUGGCAGCUGGACUGCUGUUUGUUUACCGCACGCACAGCUCUGCUGCCUCUUGGUUACACCAGUGAGCUAUUGCUCCAUGACAAGCCACACCGAAAUGUAGCAAGCACUUAUUGUUGCCCACAUGUGUCAAGUCAGUUGAGUGUUUCUGCCAACCGGGGCCUGGCUUGGCCCACCUUGGCUGAGCUUGCUCUGGUGCUAGGGUCAGCUAGACAGGUCGGCAGGAGACCAGCUGCUCUAGAAGAGCCUGGACAGGAUGAAUUGGUUCUCCUUCCACGUGCAUCUUGCAUCCCUCCAGCCAAGGAUUUGAACCCAGGUCUCGUCUGACUCCAAAUGCACCAAGAGGAUGGAGCCCAGAGUGACACAGAGGAAGAGGCCCCUGGAUGGAUGCAUGGGGAAGGUUAGAAGCAAGGCACAAGUCAUACCUACAUUCAAGGAGAGGGGACCAUGCAAAGGAUAAACUGCAGAGAGACAACAGAUUUACAUCCCAGACACAUUCACACUGGGCCAAGAGCAGCUGCCAUUGCAGAUUCGAGUCACGUCCUUUUUUCCUUCCUUCUCCUUCUUGGAGUUACAACAGAAGCUGGGGAGGUGAGAGUGCAGAAAGGACGUGGAUGAAGCAGAGAGGCACGUGCCUGUCUCAUUCGCCUCUGGAUCUGCUGCAUCCAGGACUGUGCCAGCACAAAGUGGGAGCCCGAUAAAUAUUUAUUGAAGAAAUGAAAGGUGACAAAAGGCAGAAGGAGGGAGACCCCAAAAAGAGGAGAGACAAAGUUUAAUCAUGUGGGCCAGGCUGGUUUUGAACUCCUGACCUCAAGUGAUCUGCCCACCUUGGCCUCCCAAAGUGCUGGGAUUACAGUAUGAACCCAGCAUCACAGUGCACUUGUGGCAGAUGGCAGUGCAUACCCGGGAGCUACUCUCCUCCGGCCAGAUGCCCUUCUCCCAGCUGCCCGCCGUGUGGCAGCUCUACCCCGGGAGGAAGUACCGAGCAGCGGAUUCCAGUUUCUGGGAAAUAGCAGACCAUGGCCAGAUUGACUCUAUGGAGCAGCUGGUCCUAACAUAUCAGCCGGAGAGGAAAGACUGACACUGGGAGUGGCUGGCCCUGCUGGCCCUGCCUCUUCUGGCCUGGUGUCUCCUCAUGCCCCCUCAGUGAGGAUCUUCAUGUACCUGCUCUUCUGUUUGCACACCCAGCAUAGCCUCCUUGCAGGCAGAAGGCAGUAGGGCCCCUGCACACUCAGUUUCUCUCGUUUUCCUUAGUUAUCAGUCCUGUCCUGUCCCACUCAGGUCUGUACUUAGGGCAGCUGGCCUGGAUGGGCUUCACUGGGGCCCUGUCUGUGUGCUGAGCCAGUUUCCCCUGCUGGCUGCAAGCUGUGGGUUCUUUCUCCUCUGUGCCCCUCAUGCUGAUCUUCUAGAUGCCACUCCCAAAUCCCCUUCAUACCCACCAGGAUGUGUGCCCAGCCAGGCCUCCAGCACCCCCAGUGCAGCUCGUGAUUGGAAACUCACCAUCGGCAGGCAGUGGUUCGGUUUAAGAGAUGGCAUUAGAGGGAGCCCAGUCUGGAUGUGGACUUGGAUGCCCUGUGGGUAUCAGUUCUGCUGACACUUUGGCCCGAAAUAGAUCCAGUGCUGAGCAAGCAAUGUACACCAGAGCCUCAGUGAGCCCAUCUGCACAGUGGGGAGCAUGGAGGGAUGGGUUUGGCCUGUGCUUCUGCUUAUUCAGUCCUUCAGCUCACGGAAGGGAUGCUAGUCCGUGAAGGUGACCUCACAGUACUGGUUAAUUAAACUUUAUUGCUCACUGUCCA
rnacentral:lncRNA from 1 species